GCCUCCGGAACUAAACAGAGCGUGAAGGGUCAAAUGCGGUCACUUGUAACGUGGAAGCGUUAGGUUGCGCUCCAGUGCAAUAUUAAGAAAGUAUAAUCCAGUCAAGUUUGUCUAUUAGUUUCCGUAACAUAUUUAUAUACACAGCCCUAAUUCCUGAAAUCAUUACUGCUCCCCUUCCAGCCUCUGGUUUUUCCUUGGGUUUGGAGAGAAGGCCACCACCAUCUCCUCCAAGCCCACCGCCGAAGCUUCCUCCACCGAAGCUUCCUCCACCGAAGCUGCCUCCACCGAAGCUGCCUCCUCCAUAUCCUCCACCGAAGCUGCCUCCUCCAUAGCCUCCACCAAAGCUGCCUCCUCCGUAGCCUCCACCAAAGCUGCCUCCUCCAUAGCCACCCCCGAAGCUGCCCCCUCCAAAGCCUCCAUAGCCACCUGAUGAGCCCCCAAAGCAACCUCCGCUAGAGCUCCCACGGCUAAAAGAGCCACCGCUGAACCCCCCUGAGCUGUACCCUCCACCAAGGGAGCUUUUGGUGCUGGAAACUCUGAUGGAUGAUCCACCACCACCACCUCCUCCUCCUCCUCCACUGCGGGCGGAGGAGUACUGCCUGCUGUUGGAGCUGAAUCGAACAGACAUGGUGGUGUAGUGUAGCCCGAGGAGUGCUUGCUACCAAGGACAGUGCCGAGCCUUUAUAUACGGAGAGGGCGUGUCUCACAGCGUCUGGGCUUUGCUUACCUGUAUGGUUUUCUUUUUGCGAGCUUAGCAUCUUUGGCUUAUGAUUGCAUAAAUUAUCUUCAGUAAUAACCAAUACCUUCUCAAUGCUCUUGAAUUUGCCCUGAGUGCAAAUGGGAAAUUUGCUGUGUUGAAACUGAAAACGGGUGGAGUUCAGAUGAGUACAUUGUACCACUGGAAGACCAUUGAGUAACCAGUAAAAAUCUAAUUUUUCUAAAGUCA